GUAAAAGCGUUCCAAAGUUAUUACCACAUAAAGUGACACAUGUCAGAUUUUAAAAAUUAGGCUCUGUCAUUAAGUGGGAAAUAGCCCGGAUGUGAAGUGGUUAAGCAGAGACAACUAGAGAAGGA